rnacentral:rRNA from 1 species
UUGAAGAGUUUGAUCAUGGCUCAGAUUGAACGCUGGCGGCAGGCCUAACACAUGCAAGUCGAACGGUAACAGGAAGCAGCUUGCUGCUUUGCUGACGAGUGGCGGACGGGUGAGUAAUGUCUGGGAAACUGCCCGAUGGAGGGGGAUAACUACUGGAAACGGUAGCUAAUACCGCAUAACGUCGCAAGACCAAAGAGGGGGACCUUAGGGCCUCUUGCCAUCGGAUGUGCCCAGAUGGGAUUAGCUAGUAGGUGGGGUAAUGGCUCACCUAGGCGACGAUCCCUAGCUGGUCUGAGAGGAUGACCAGCCACACUGGAACUGAGACACGGUCCAGACUCCUACGGGAGGCAGCAGUGGGGAAUAUUGCACAAUGGGCGCAAGCCUGAUGCAGCCAUGCCGCGUGUAUGAAGAAGGCCUUCGGGUUGUAAAGUACUUUCAGCGGGGAGGAAGGGAGUUAAUACCUUUGCUCAUUGACGUUACCCGCAGAAGAAGCACCGGCUAACUCCGUGCCAGCAGCCGCGGUAAUACGGAGGGUGCAAGCGUUAAUCGGAAUUACUGGGCGUAAAGCGCACGCAGGCGGUUUGUUAAGUCAGAUGUGAAAUCCCCGGGCUCAACCUGGGAACUGCAUCUGAUACUGGCAAGCUUGAGUCUCGUAGAGGGGUAGAAUUCGUGUAGCGGUGAAAUGCGUAGAGAUCUGGAGGAAUACCGGUGGCGAAGGCGGCCCCCUGGACGAAGACUGACGCUCAGGUGCGAAAGCGUGGGGAGCAAACAGGAUUAGAUACCCUGGUAGUCCACGCCGUAAACGAUGUCGACUUGGAGGUUGUGCCCUUGAGGCGUGGCUUCCGGAGCUAACGCGUUAAGUCGACCGCCUGGGGAGUACGGCCGCAAGGUUAAAACUCAAAUGAAUUGACGGGGGCCCGCACAAGCGGUGGAGCAUGUGGUUUAAUUCGAUGCAACGCGAAGAACCUUACCUGGUCUUGACAUCCACGGAAGUUUUCAGAGAUGAGAAUGUGCCUUCGGGAACCGUGAGACAGGUGCUGCAUGGCUGUCGUCAGCUCGUGUUGUGAAAUGUUGGGUUAAGUCCCGCAACGAGCGCAACCCUUAUCCUUUGUUGCCAGCGGUCCGGCCGGGAACUCAAAGGAGACUGCCAGUGAUAAACUGGAGGAAGGUGGGGAUGACGUCAAGUCAUCAUGGCCCUUACGACCAGGGCUACACACGUGCUACAAUGGCGCAUACAAAGAGAAGCGACCUCGCGAGAGCAAGCGGACCUCAUAAAGUGCGUCGUAGUCCGGAUUGGAGUCUGCAACUCGACUCCAUGAAGUCGGAAUCGCUAGUAAUCGUGGAUCAGAAUGCCACGGUGAAUACGUUCCCGGGCCUUGUACACACCGCCCGUCACACCAUGGGAGUGGGUUGCAAAAGAAGUAGGUAGCUUAACCUUCGGGAGGGCGCUUACCACUUUGUGAUUCAUGACUGGGGUGAAGUCGUAACAAGGUAACCGUAGGGGAACCUGCGGUUGGAUCACCUCCUU